ACCUUGUAUGGCUGUUUCUGUGGAUGUUUGUUAAAUAAGAAUAUUGAGAGCCAAGGAAUUCUAUCAAGCAAAGAUGUUCUACUCAGGUUUAUGAACAGUUUUCCCCCUGUAUGGCUGUACUGUUUAUUCCACUGAGCCUGGCUGCAUCCUUCUGCUUUGAUUUAUAGGGAAGGCAGAAGUCAACACCUAAAAGAUGUGACUUUUAAAAC
rnacentral:lncRNA from 1 species